rnacentral:rRNA from 1 species
CCACCUUUGACAUGUACGGAAUCCGCCAGAGAUGGCUUAGUGCUCGAAAGAGAACCGUAACACAGGUGCUGCAUGGCUGUCGUCAGCUCGUGUCGUGAGAUGUUGGGUUAAGUCCCGCAACGAGCGCAACCCUUGUCAUUAGUUGCUACGCAAGAGCACUCUAAUGAGACUGCCGGUGACAAACCGGAGGAAGGUGGGGAUGACGUCAAGUCCUCAUGGCCCUUAUGGGUAGGGCUACACACGUCAUACAAUGGUACAUACAGAGGGCCGCCAACCCGCGAGGGGGAGCUAAUCCCAGAAAGUGUAUCGUAGUCCGGAUUGUAGUCUGCAACUCGACUACAUGAAGUUGGAAUCGCUAGUAAUCGCGAAUCAGAAUGUCGCGGUGAAUACGUUCCC